UACGUAGGGUGCGAGCGUUGUCCGGAAUUACUGGGCGUAAAGAGCUCGUAGGCGGUUUGUCGCGUCUGCUGUGAAAACUCGGGGCUUAACCCCGGGCCUGCAGUGGGUACGGGCAGACUAGAGUGCGGUAGGGGAGACUGGAAUUCCUGGUGUAGCGGUGAAAUGCGUAGAUAUCUGGAGGAAUACCGGUGGCGAAGGCGGCAUCCUGGACCGGCAUUGACGCUGAGGAGCGAAAGCCAGGGGAGCAAACGGG
rnacentral:rRNA from 1 species